GAUGAACGCUAGCUACAGGCUUAACACAUGCAAGUCGCGGGGCAGCAUUUUCUUAGCUUGCUAAGGAAGAUGGCGACCGGCGCACGGGUGAGUAACGCGUAUCCAACCUUCCCAUGUCCACGGGAUAGCCCGUCGAAAGGCGGAUUAAUACCGUAUGAGGUCACAUGCGGGCAUCUAAUUGUGACGAAAGGUUUAGCGGACAUGGAUGGGGAUGCGUCCGAUUAGCUAGUUGGCGGGGUAACGGCCCACCAAGGCGACGAUCGGUAGGGGUUCUGAGAGGAAGGUCCCCCCACAUUGGAACUGAGACACGGUCCAAACUCCUACGGGAGGCAGCAGUGAGGAAUAUUGGUCAAUGGACGCAAGUCUGAACCAGCCAAGUAGCGUGCAGGAUGACGGCCCUAUGGGUUGUAAACUGCUUUUAUGCGGGGAUAAAGUUAGGGAUGUAUCCCUUUUUGCAGGUACCGCAUGAAUAAGGACCGGCUAAUUCCGUG
rnacentral:rRNA from 1 species